GAUGAACGCUGGCGGCGUGCUUAACACAUGCAAGUCGAACGGAAAGGCCCAAGCUUGCUUGGGUACUCGAGUGGCGAACGGGUGAGUAACACGUGGGUGAUCUGCCCCGCACUUCGGGAUAAGCCUGGGAAACUGGGUCUAAUACCGGAUAGGACCACUUCUUGGAGGUUGUGGUGGAAAGUUUUUUCGGUGAGGGAUGAGCUCGCGGCCUAUCAGCUUGUUGGUGGGGUAAUGGCCUACCAAGGCGUCGACGGGUAGCCGGCCUGAGAGGGUGUACGGCCACAUUGGGACUGAGAUACGGCCCAGACUCCUACGGGAGGCAGCAGUGGGGAAUAUUGCACAAUGGGCGCAAGCCUGAUGCAGCGACGCCGCGUGGGGGAUGACGGCCUUCGGGUUGUAAACUCCUUUCGCUAGGGACGAAGCGCAAGUGACGGUACCUAGAGAAGAAGCACCGGCUAACUACGUG
rnacentral:rRNA from 1 species